UAACCUACGGGGGGCAGCAGUGGGGGAUAUUGCACAAUGGGGGAAACCCUGAUGCAGCGACGCCGCGUGUGGGAAGACGGUCCUCUGGAUUGUAAACCACUGUCCCCAGGGACGAAGAUGACGGUACCUGGGGAGGAAGCUCCGGCUAACUCCGUGCCAGCAGCCGCGGUAAUACGGAGGAUGCGAGCGUUAUCCGGAUUUAUUGGGUUUAAAGGGUGCGUAGGCGGGCUGUUAAGUCAGCGGUAAAAGCCCGGGGCUCAACCCCGGCGAGCCGUUGAAACUGGCUGUCUUGAGAUGUCGAGAGG
rnacentral:rRNA from 1 species